rnacentral:tRNA from 1 species
UGUGUAUGUAAUUUAAACAAAAUAUCAAGCUGUGACCUUGACAAUAGAAUCCCCUCAUACAC